rnacentral:rRNA from 1 species
AACCCACUCUUAUGGAGAUGAAACCCAAAAGAUCUUGAAACCCAUUUGGGCGAGAGUAGUACUAGGAUGGGUGACCUCCUGGGAAGUCCUCGUGAAAGGGUUU